AAAAGCUCGUAGUUGGAUUUGUGGUGUGUCCAGUCGGCCUUUGCUCUUUGAGUGAUUGCGCUGUACUGGUCUGCCAUGUUUGGGUGGAAUCUGUGUGGCAUUAAGUUGUCGUGCAGGGGAUGCCCAUCGUUUACUGUGAAAAAAUUAGAGUGUUCAAAGCAGGCUUAUGCCGUUGAAUAUAUUAGCAUGGAAUAAUGAUAUAGGACCUUGGUACUAUUUUGUUGGUUUGCGCACUAAGGUAAUGAUUAAGAGGGACAGUUGGGGGUAUUUGUAUUCCAUUGU
rnacentral:rRNA from 1 species